AAAUUCCUGCCCAAUUCGCGGACUGCGCACAUAUAACCCUACACUCAAACUUAAGGGAGCCAGCACUCCGGGUACGGACUGCAGACCUCCCGCCCGGCUUCGUGCCGAAGCGGAGGAAGGGAGCGAGAACUACCAGGGAUGGCACCCACCUGACUACUCAGUAGCAGGUUAUUGAGAUGCGUAAUACGGUUGGGCGGGUUUUUU
rnacentral:other from 1 species